CACAAAAACAGAAAUCAUCAAGAAAACCAAUCAUGAAGAAAAAAUAAAAUAAACCAAUAAAGUAAACCACUAAAUAACAAUAUUAAAAACAUUCAAGAAUAAAAUGGUGAACGAGAAAUCAAAUUUAAACUAAAUGCAACAACUGUAAUAUUUUAUAAUUUAUAAAAACAGUAAUAAUUAAGAUACAAACAAGAUGAAGAGAAGACAUGCAGAAUACGACUGGUGCAGUGGAAAAUUACGCGAUGUGCCAUUUACUGUAUCUCUUAAAAGGACGUUGUUCUACUUUGGCAUGAUGGCGCUUAAUAUAAUAGUACGAACUAUACCAAUAUUGUUCUAUCUAUCACUGGGGGUUUUCUGUUUUUUCUGCCAAAUUUGCAAUUGCUUUUUACUAUGUACCUGAUGCAAAUAUAUUGUCAAGCGGUUUAGUUUUAAUGUUAGUCAUUAAACGUAGUUCAGUUUAA